rnacentral:rRNA from 1 species
CUCGGCAACGGAUAUCUCGGCUCUCGCAUCGAUGAAGAACGUAGCAAAAUGCGAUACUUGGUGUGAAUUGCAGAAUCCCGUGAACCAUCAAGUCUUUGAACGCAAGUUGCGCCCGAAGCCAUUAGGCUGAGGGCACGUCUGCCUGGGCGUCACGC